rnacentral:lncRNA from 10 species
UAAAGGUAUAAUUCUCCUCCAAGACUAAGGAUGUUCUCUGACAGCAGCUGCAUCCAUGUUAAGGUGAUACUUAAAUGUUCCCUAAAGAGUUAAACAUGUACCCUAAUUCUCUACAAGAUACAAUGCAUCUUAUGGUUGUGUCAAACAUUCUGAUGAUUACUGUGAUGAUCACAAAGUGAAAAAGUUCAUCGGGAUAUUAAAGCAGCAGCUACAGUUCUAAAGAAUAUGUGUUAAUUUCAUCUGUAAGCACCAGCUUUCAAGCCACUUAGCAAAUCUUUUUUGUGGCGAAAUCCUGUACUAUUUAUAGCAUUUCUACUUUGAGAAGCAUUUUAUUUUUUAGGAAUGAAUUUUUAAUGUCUGGCUGAGGAAUCUGGGACUCAGAGAGGUGAAGUGACUUCCCAAGAUCACAAAUAUCUGCAAAAGUCAACAUUAUGAAUAACUGAAAAGAAGAUGACAUAAGAAAUACAAUAAAGUCAGCAAGUAAGAAAGAAUAGCACCAUU